GCAAAGACUCAGUGAUCAUGGGUUGCCUGUGCCCUGGUCAUCGAUAGUACUGGGAGAGGAGUCACUGAAAGACAUUUUUCCAUGUUUGAAGGGCCCAGUUGUCCCUUCCAAACCCUGGAUCUUUCACACA